rnacentral:rRNA from 1 species
UACGUAGGGUGCGAGCGUUGUCCGGAAUUACUGGGCGUAAAGAGCUCGUAGGUGGUUUGUCGCGUUGUCCGUGAAAACUCACAACUCAAUUGUGGGCGUGCGGGCGAUACGGGCAGACUGGAGUACUGCAGGGGAGACUGGAAUUCCUGGUGUAGCGGUGAAAUGCGCAGAUAUCGGGAGGAACACCAGUAGCGAAGGCGGCACUCUGGGCCGGUACUGACGCUGAGGAGCGAAAGCGUGGGGAGCAAACAGG